AGCGAAUUAGCUCAGUGGUAGAGCAACAGAAUCAUAAAUUGUGUACUAGGGUUCGAUUCCCUGAUUCGCUA
rnacentral:tRNA from 1 species